rnacentral:lncRNA from 1 species
CUUAGCCUCAUUAGUCAAAUUUAUGAUACAACUCCAAUAAGAUCAAUUGAACCUACAUUACACAACAGUAAUUUUCCAAAUAAUCAUCUAUACUUCUCCAUGCUAUAACUUCGCAAUUUUGUUCAGACAAACAAUUGAGCAAACCAUCAAGGAGAGGAUGUAUGAUUUUCGCUAUCUACGUUCUUCAUUUUUUCUUCCUAUGAGACCCUCCUUUUAACCAUAAGACACAAAAUUUGGAAUAAUAAAGAAAAAACACAAGACAUGUUUCUUUAAAUAACCUUUUUGCUAUUGGAAUGUGACAAUUUUUUAUCUAGAGAUUGCAACUGGGUUCGAAGGUUCUGAUUUUCCUCAAGCAGGCGAUCAUAUUCAAGAACACAGGCGGAUCCAGGCCCGGGCUAGCACGGGCUACAGCCCGUGCUCGCUCAAGCCCAGAAGCAGUCAAUUUUUUUAUUUUUUUUUUCAGCCCAUGUAAAAUUGAAAAUCAGCCCGUGUGGUGUAAAUCCAAUUGCAACAAAAUGAGCAAAUGACCCAACUUCAAUUUAUUGGCCCAAAGAAAACAUAAAUUUUAUUUUCCAUUUAAACCCAAAACUAAAACCAAGCACAAACCAAAUUUAAUUCUAAUCCAACAUUCUCCAACAACAGGUCCACAGUCCACUGGUCCAAAACGAUUCCUCUCCAUUCUCCAACCUUUUUUUUCAAAAUUUCAAUCCAAAAAUUCUAUAAAAAAUUAAGGAACUCAUUACCCUAAUCAAAGAUUUCAUAGCCUAAUACCUUCUAGUAGGUGCCGGCGUGUUGUGAAGAACCGUUAGUCCGCCGUGUAGGAGUCCAAAUCGUCAGUCCGUCGACGCCAGUCACGCCACUGCUAUUCUCCAUUUCUCCUGUGAGCCUCUCUCUGAAUGGCUAUUAUGGAUUUAUGGUUUGUAUUAUUUAGAGUUUAUAGACCAUAGUUGUAUAGGAUAAUAAUAGGAUUAGAAAAUCUAAAAUCUGAAAACAAGAAACGGAAAUGGAAAUGGAAAUCGGAAACACCAAAACAGUAGGCCCGAAUGCUGCUGAAAGUUAGAAACUAAAAAGAAGAAAAGUGACCCUUUUAAUUUAUAAUUUUAUAUGGAUUGUUGACACAUGGAUGGAUGGGAAGAUUUUGAUAAAGUUAAAAGUUAAUUAAUUAAAAUUAAAUAAUGGGAAUUGUUUGUCACUUUGUCUGUUUGUGGCAUAUGGUUUAAAGCACAUAUAGAAUAGUAGAUUAUAAAUAUUAUCU